GACGAACGCUGGCGGCGUGCCUAAUACAUGCAAGUAGAACGCUGAAGGAGGAGCUUGCUCUUCUGGAUGAGUUGCGAACGGGUGAGUAACGCGUAGGUAACCUGCUGGUAGCGGGGGAUAACUAUUGGAAACGAUAGCUAAUACCGCAUAAAAUUGAUUAUUGCAUGAUAGUCAAUUAAAAGGUGCAAUUGCAUCACUACCAGAUGGACCUGCGUUGUAUUAGCUAGUUGGUGAGGUAACGGCUCACCAAGGCAACGAUACAUAGCCGACCUGAGAGGGUGAUCGGCCACACUGGGACUUGGACACGGCCCAGACUCCUACGGGAGGCAGCAGUAGGGAAUCUUCGGCAAUGGACGGAAGUCUGACCGAGCAACGCCGCGUGAGUGAAGAAGGUUUUCGGAUCGUAAAGCUCUGAUGUAAGAGAAGAACGAGUGUGAGAGUGGAAAGUUCACACUGUGACGGUAUCUUACCAGAAAGGGACGGCUAACUACGUG
rnacentral:rRNA from 1 species